AGAAUCAACGCUGGCGGCGUGCCUAACACAUGCAAGUCGAACGAGAAAGGGGUAGCAAUACCCUGAGUAAAGUGGCGCACGGGUGGGUAACACGUGACUAACCUACCCUUGAGUGGGGGAUAACUGAGGGAAACCUUAGCUAAUACCGCAUAAUACCCACGGGUCAAAGGAGCAAUUCGCUCGAGGAGGGGGUCGCGGCCGAUUAGUUAGUUGGCGGGGUAAUGGCCCACCAAGACGAUGAUCGGUAU
rnacentral:rRNA from 1 species